UCCUUUGAUGUUAAACUGAACACGUAAAAUCUUUUGCAUUUAUUUAUUUAUUUAUUUAUUUUGAAAGAAUACCUUUGACAAACGACUUUUUUUUUUAUUUACAAAAAGUUGUAGGCUUGGUAUCUGCUUACGAUAAUCUAAAACAAUAUGCCUACUUAAUGCAGGAAAUCCUGAUCAAAGUGUCAAAGAUAAGAGUCAUUGCAGCAGAAUGGAUGUUCGCACUCUCAAUGGCGUUAAUCUGCUUAAUCAGAGGACAAGGUUUACACGUCUAUCGUUAUUGUUGGACUGCGAAUGCCGUACUGAACUUUGGUCAUGUGUUCUGAACUUCAACUUGGGAAACUAGGACGUUAAACUCUUGUUUCAGCAGCCAUGGGGAAACUGUCUUGUGCGCUCGCCGCUCUCGUGUCUUUGGCGUUUUUCUUUUACCACUGUUCGGCACUGAAGUACCAGACUGGAAAAACAUACAAAUAUAUAUACUCGUCAGCAGUGUUAUUCAAUGAUCUAAACAGUCGCAAGCUGACAAAAGCCCAGAAAGAUGCAGGUCUACACAUCACCCUUGAUGUUGAUGUAUCACCGAUAUACCAGGAUGCAGAUUCACAGCUGUUUAAACUCAAGCUGAACUCGGCCAAAGUUGUGAGUGCAUCAAGAGAAAACCAUGAAAAGCCAUUGGGAUCAUUACUGAAGCAUUCAAUUUACUUCCAACUUGAAAAAAAUUCUGUUGGUAAAAUAUUUAUUCCACAGUCUGAUCCGGCAUUUUGUUCAAACAUCAAGAAAGGAAUAAUUUCUUUGUUCCAAGUCCAAGAUGAACCAGGGGAAAGGACAGAGGUUGACAUAUCAGGUGAGUGCUCAGUUCAGUACACCAGACCUACAUCGUCAACAGUAACGAAGACAAAGACAGACUGUAAGAAUCUGGAGAUAGCAGGACAGUACUCCAAUACUAAUAAGGCUUUAGGUGUUAAUGUGCUGAGCAUCACAACACAGGAAUAUACCAUGGAAGAAGACAUUAUAAAGAGUGUCACGGGAACUAAUACAGUCAAAAGUUUUCUUGAUAUAAGAACAGAUCUUAAUGGAGAAGCCACAGUCAGCCAGCAUCUAACGUUUCAAAACAUUAUAGAUAAUUCAGCUACAAUAACAGCAGCAAAUAUGGAAGAGGCAAUAAAAUAUUUAGAAAAAGAAACAGGUAGCACAUUACUUCCAUCGUUACUGCCAAGUAUAUCCGAAGCUACACACUGCACAGAAAAUUGUGAGUCUCCACUGAAAUUAAUACCCAAACUGCAUGAUGAUUUGAAGAAAGAGCAGUUAGCUACUGUGCCUUCAGCUAAAGCAUUUGUAAAAAUGUUGAGAAGCUUCAGGAAUUCAGGAAAAGAUACCAUAGCUGAAGUACUGACCAGUAAAGAUUCAUAUUUAAUUGUACCUCAGUUGAUAGACAUUGCUGCUGCCACGCAGACAUCAGCCAGCCUGAAGGCUGCGAUGGACCUGCUUGUCUUUGACGAUGACUAUUCCACAGAACACCCAGAACGCUUCCUGCUGGCUGCAGCAUACUCUACACAUCCUGGAGAGUACCUUCUUAAAAACCUACUUUCAAUCCUGAAGACGAACAUACCAAGUGAAAGUCUUAAAGAAUCUCUGAUGCUUGCCACAAGUGCCAUUGUCCACACCUAUUGUCAAGUCAAGGACAAAUGUACAAACCAGGUUGUACAAGACUUGCGAAGUCUGCUGUUGACUGGACUCAGUAAGAGUGAAGAAGAAGUUUCUAUUGGAAUGUACUUGAGGGCACUGGGCAAUGCUGGACUGUCGGACACUGUGAUAACCAUCACUACGUAUGCAGAGCAUGCCAACACCAGCAUGUUGAACGAGAUGGCCAUCAAGGCGCUGCGAAGAAUGGAUAAGCAGUUCAUCACAGAAGAGGUGACAGAAGCAAUGCUGAGAAUAUUUCAUCAGAACGAAAAGACCUAUGAUACUAGUGUGAGAAUAGCAGCUCUGAAUGUCAUCUUACAAAACAAGCCAUCAGUAUCAACACUCAGAAAUAUUCUUCUCUCCAUCACGGACCAAACCAAUUAUGAGUUAGCAAUGUUUAUAAAACAAAACAUUGAAGAUGCAGCAAAACAGGAUCAGAAUCUCAGAUCAACAUUACAAAGCAUUUAUAAGGAAAGAAAAAUUAACAACUAUAAUGUUUUGGCUCAAAGAGGAAAAUCUAGUGUGUUCACCAACUUUUUGGCAACAACAAGUGAUAUGCAUGCCACAUACAGACUGAUAUUUGAAAACUCUAAUUCUGGAGUCAUGAAGCGAAGUGGCAUGGAUGUGAAUCUGCUUGGAAAUACGUGGACUCAACCAUUCCUUGAUUUCAGCAUAUUUGCUGAAGGCCUGGAGUCGAUGAUGAGUGACGACAGUUCUGAGGAGCCCGCCCCUGAUGACAAGACGCCAGAGGAGGAUAGUGGAGGAGUGGAGUCUAUGGCGGGGAUGUCCUUCAUGAUGAUGGACGUCGUCCUCAAACAGAUCGAGUUUUUCCGCGGCAUGUCCGGCUUGAUGUCCGCGGUGUGGAACGCUCCUUCAGAGUUAACAUCAGCUUUACAGGCCAAUAUUCUUCUCCAGGACCACUACCAAAGAGUCCAUCUUUCUAAUGGUCUCAUUAUGAAUGUUGCAGUCACAGGUGUUUUGUCAAUGGACUUGUCGGGAUAUGUCAGUAUCAGCCUGUGGAACAGAAACUGUGAUUCCCUUAUCAAAAAUAGUGGUGCUAUUUACAUUGAAGGCUUAAUGCAGCUGGAAUCAUCAGAGUUUACAGCUGGAGUAGAAUUCUCUUGUGAAGGUGCAUCGGCAAUCGACUUCAUGACAGUUGCUGAUUUUUACGAUAUGCCGGUCAAACUCUGUCUCCAAAUGAAGAGGCCAGAUUUUACAUUUAGACAAACAUUGAAAAAAUUUGAAAAGAUAAAAAAAUCUAAGAAGUAUAUAAAGAAAAUAACAAGGAUGUCAUCAUUUCCUGGCGAGUCAUAUUUACUGAACAAAGCCAACUCGGAAGAAUGUAAAAAAAUCAAUGAAGGCCAAGAAUAAGGAAUAGACAAAUAUAAAGCACAACACAAAGGUUUUGGAGCUGAAAAAAGGAUGUCACUAAACAACCGUACCAAAGAUUCCAGUAUUACUACAGCCCAUGACAAUCAGUAUUCCAUUCCUUGACCGUUUUAUGUUGGACAGAUGAAGUUUACUUGUACAUUAUGCUGUCUGAAUGUUUUGAUAUUCAUAUCAUGUGCAAUGCUGUAAUUUAUUUUAAUAUGAACAAAAAUGUUUUUGAACUAUAAAUAUGUUAAAAAUAGUCGCACAGUUUUAUUUUUUUGAGAUUAAAACUAGGUAAUCACAGAACAAUACAAUAAAGUAUCAAAAUGAAA